AAGUCGUAACAAGGUUUCCGUAGGUGAACCUGCGGAAGGAUCAUUAUCGAGUCUUGAAACGGGUUGUUAGCUGGCCUUAUAACGGGGCAUGUGCACGCCUGGCUUCAUCCACUACUCAACCUCUGUGCACCUAUUGUAGGUCGGUGAAAGGCCCCUUCUCAGUUCAUUGAAUUGAAUUGUAGAAAGCUGGAAGCCUUCCUAUGUUUUACUACAAACGCUUCAGUUAUAGAAUGUAAUCUUUGCGUAUAACGCAUUUAUAUACAACUUUCAGCAACGGAUCUCUUGGCUCUC
rnacentral:misc_RNA from 1 species